rnacentral:rRNA from 1 species
UGGUGUCUACGGGGGGCAGCAGUCGAGAAUCAUUCACAAUGGGGGAAACCCUGAUGGUGCGACGCCGCGUGGGGGAAUGAAGGUCUUCGGAUUGCAAACCCCUGUCAUGUGGGAGCAAAUUAAAAAGAUAGUACCACAAGAGGAAGAGACGGCUAACUCUGCGCCAGCAGCCGCGGUAAUACAGAGGUCUCAAGCGUUGUUCGGAAUCACUGGGCGUAAAGCGUGCGUAGGCUGUUUCGUAAGUCGUGUGUGAACGCCGCG